AGCAACACCACACCCUCCUGAUCACCAUAGCUUUAUGCAACAACAAGAAACAAAUUUAUUAGCUAACCUAACCACUAAUGACGCAAGAGACAAUUCUAAGGACUUUCAAAACAGCAAAGUAGGAGCAGCUGCUACCUCUAGGGAUGAGGGAUGCAAUUGUCCAAUUAUUGGUGAAAUUGUCAUUUCAUGCUAUUGGCUAUUUGAAAUUCCUCCUCUAAUUUCAGAAUAAAUCACUGAAAUUGACAUCGGCC
rnacentral:lncRNA from 10 species